rnacentral:rRNA from 1 species
UGGCGACCGGCGCACGGGUGAGUAACACGUAUCCAACCUGCCGAUGACUCGGGGAUAGCCUUUCGAAAGAAAGAUUAAUACCCGAUGGCAUAGUUCUUCCGCAUGGUGGAACUAUUAAAGAAUUUCGGUCAUCGAUGGGGAUGCGUUCCAUUAGGUUGUUGGCGGGGUAACGGCCCACCAAGCCUUCGAUGGAUAGGGGCUCUGAGAGGAAGGUCCCCCACAUUGGAACUGAGACACGGUCCAA